GAACGCACCUUGCACCCUUUGGUAUUCCGAAGGGUAUGCUCGUUUGAGUGUCAUUGUACUCUCACACUUCUGAUCUUUGGAUUGGGAGCGGUGGACUUGGGUGUUGCUGCUUUACUGUGGCUCACCUCAAAUGCAGUAGUGCAACUCUUGGUUGGACAUAGUACGGCGUGAUAAGUGUCUUCGCCGGCGCCUCACUAGAGGGUGGCUGAUCGGGAGCUCUGUGCUUCAAACCGUCUUCGGACAAUCUUUGACAACUUGACCUCAAAUCGAGUAGGACUACCCGCUGAACUUAAG
rnacentral:misc_RNA from 1 species